UGAUUUCUUAAGACCAGUGAGUACCAGCACCUUGUUUUUCUUUUUUCAUUUUCACCAGUUAUUAGCAUUGAGUUUAUUGUAAUUGCAUCUCCCAAAUGAAGUGAAAACCCAUCUACAUGUCUUUAAUCAUCUAAUUCAACUGUUACUGUGUCUUAUUUGAAAUUGAAAUUACAGAUAGUGGUUCUAAGUUAGGUGCCUUCUGCAAGCAUGAAGACAUGUGCAUGAGAGAGAGAGAGGAUCUAUAGGUUUAGGAUUUGUAUUUACAGACUGCACAAGCUGCACGUUGUUUACAGCCUCCUACCAUAAAAGCUUACAUGAGAAUAUGUUUGUUGAACAGGUGGAUGUUGGAGACUUCCUGCG
rnacentral:misc_RNA from 1 species